UACGAAGGGGGCUAGCGUUGCUCGGAAUCACUGGGCGUAAAGCGCACGUAGGCGGACUCUUAAGUCAGGGGUGAAAUCCUGGAGCUCAACUCCAGAACUGCCUUUGAUACUGGGAGUCUUGAGUUCGGGAGAGGUGAGUGGAACUGCGAGUGUAGAGGUGAAAUUCGUAGAUAUUCGCAAGAACACCAGUGGCGAAGGCGGCUCACUGGCCCGAUACUGACGCUGAGGCGCGAAAGCGUGGGGAGCAAACGGG
rnacentral:rRNA from 1 species